rnacentral:pre_miRNA from 1 species
UUAGAGAGGCUUGUUUCAAAGCCCAUUGAAGUCCAUGGGAGUCUUUCCAUUGACUUAAUUGGGCUUUGGAUCAGGCCCUAAAAAA